UACGAAGGGUGCAAGCGUUACUCGGAAUUACUGGGCGUAAAGCGUGCGUAGGUGGUUUGUUAAGUCUGUUGUGAAAGCCCCGGGCUCAACCUGGGAAUGGCAAUGGAUACUGGCAAGCUAGAGUGCGGUAGAGGGUAGUGGAAUUCCCGGUGUAGCGGUGAAAUGCGUAGAGAUCGGGAGGAACACCAGUGGCGAAGGCGGCUACCUGGACCAGCACUGACUCUGAUCUGCGAAAGCUAGGGGAGCAAACAGG
rnacentral:rRNA from 1 species